rnacentral:rRNA from 1 species
ACGUAGGUGGCAAGCGUUGUCCGGAAUUAUUGGGCGUAAAGCGCGCGCAGGUGGGAUCUUAAGUCUGUUCUGAAAGUUCGGAGCUUAACUCCGUGAUGGGAUGGAAACUGGGAUUCUUGAGUAUCGGAGAGGAAAGCGGAAUUCCCCGUGUAGCGGGGGAAUGCGUAGAUGUGGGGAGGAACACCAGUGGCGAAGGCGGCUUGCUGGACGUUGGCUGCCCCUGAGGCGCGUGAGCUAGGGGCGCAAGGGG